rnacentral:rRNA from 1 species
GAGCGGCGCACGGGUGAGUAACACGUAUGCAACCUGCCCACAACAAGGGGAUAGCCCGUCGAAAGACGGAUUAAUACCCUAUAAAACAGGGACCCCGCAUGGGGGAUAUUUGUUAAAGAUUAUCGGUUGUGGAUGGGCAUGCGUUCCAUUAGCUAGUUGGUAGGGUAACGGCCUACCAAGGCAACGAUGGAUAGGGGAACUGAGAGGUUUAUCCCCCACACUGGGACUGAGACACGGCCCAG